CUAGUAUAGCACUUAUACCGUGAAACUGCGAAUGGCUCAUUAAAUCAGUUAUCGUUUAUUUGAUAGUACCUUACUACUUGGAUAACCGUGGUAAUUCUAGAGCUAAUACAUGCUAAAAACCCCGACUUCGGGAGGGGUGUAUUUAUUAGAUAAAAAACCAAUGCCCUUCGGGGCUCUUUGGUGAUUCAUGAUAACUUAACGGAUCGCAUGGCCUUGCGCCGGCGACGGUUCAUUCAAAUUUCUGCCCUAUCAACUUUCGAUGGUAAGGUAUUGGCUUACCAUGGUUUCAACGGGUAACGGGGAAUUAGGGUUCGAUUCCGGAGAGGGAGCCUGAGAAACGGCUACCACAUCCAAGGAAGGCAGCAGGCGCGCAAAUUACCCAAUCCCGACACGGGGAGGUAGUGACAAUAAAUACUGAUACAGGGCUCUUUUGGGUCUUGUAAUUGGAAUGAGUACAAUUUAAACCCCUUAACGAGGAACAAUUGGAGGGCAAGUCUGGUGCCAGCAGCCGCGGUAAUUCCAGCUCCAAUAGCGUAUAUUAAAGUUGUUGCAGUUAAAAAGCUCGUAGUUGAACCUUGGGCCUGGCUGGCCGGUCCGCCUCACCGCGUGCACUGGUCCGGCCGGGCCUUUCCUUCUGGAGAGCCCCAUGCCCUUCACUGGGUGUGCGGGGGAACCAGGACUUUUACUUUGAAAAAAUUAGAGUGUUCAAAGCAGGCCUUUGCUCGAAUACAUUAGCAUGGAAUAAUAAAAUAGGACGUGCGGUCCUAUUUUGUUGGUUUCUAGGACCGCCGUAAUGAUUAAUAGGGAUAGUCGGGGGCAUCCGUAUUCAAUUGUCAGAGGUGAAAUUCUUGGAUUUAUUGAAGACGAACUACUGCGAAAGCAUUUGCCAAGGAUGUUUUCAUUAAUCAGUGAACGAAAGUUAGGGGAUCGAAGACGAUCAGAUACCGUCGUAGUCUUAACCGUAAACUAUGCCGACUAGGGAUCGGGCGAUGUUACUAUUUUGACUCGCUCGGCACCUUACGAGAAAUCAAAGUUUUUGGGUCUGGGGG
rnacentral:rRNA from 1 species